GUGGAUUAGAUACCCUGGUAGUCCUAGCCCUAAACGAUCAGGACUUGGGGUGCCACCCGUUCGGGUGUCGUCCCGGAGCUAACGCGUUAAGUCCUGCACCUGGGGAGUACGGUCGCAAGACUGAAACUCAAAGGAAUUGACGGGGGCCCGCACAAGCGGUGGAACAUGUGGUUCAAUUCGACGCUACGCGAGGAACCUUACCUGGGCUCGAAAUGCUAGUGACCAGCUGUAGAAAUAUGGCCUUCCCGCAAGGGACACUAGUAUAGGCGCUGCACGGCUGUCGCCAACU
rnacentral:rRNA from 1 species